rnacentral:rRNA from 1 species
UACGUAGGGACCAAGCGUUGUUCGGAUUUACUGGGCGUAAAGGGCGCGUAGGCGGCAAUUCAAGUCAUCUGUGAAAUCUCCGGGCUUAACUCGGAAUGGUCAGGUGAUACUGCUUUGCUAGAGUGCAGAAGGGGCAAUCGGAAUUCUUGGUGUAGCGGUGAAAUGCGUAGAUAUCAAGAGGAACACCUGAGGUGAAGACGGGGUUGCUGGGCUGACACUGACGCUGAGGCGCGAAAGCUAGGGGAGCAAACGGG